AACACGGUGGCCUAAUGGUUAGAGCGUUGGAUUCCGGAUCAAGAGGUCUGGGUUCGAGCCUGGCCUUGAGGUCA